rnacentral:rRNA from 1 species
UAGUCCACGCCGUAAACGAUGAUCACUCGCUGUCUGCGAUACACAGUAGGCGGCUGAGCGAAAGCAUUAAGUGAUCCACCUGGGGAGUACGAUCGCAAGGUUGAAACUCAAAGGAAUUGACGGGGGCCCGCACAAGCGGAGGAACAUGUGGUUUAAUUCGAUGAUACGUGAGGAACCUUACCUGGGCUUAAAUGUAGAUUGCAUAAUUUAGAAAUAGAUUUUCCUUCGGACUACUUACAAGGUGCUGCAUGGUUGUCGUCAGUUCGUGCCGUGAGGUGUCAGGUUAAGUCCUAUAACGAGCGCAACCCCUACCGUUAGUUGCCAGCAUGUUAUGAUGGGGACUCUAGCGGGACUGCCGGUGCAAACCGAGAGGAAGGUGGGGAUGACGUCAAAUCAUCACGGCCCUUACGUCCUGGGCUACACACGUGCUACAAUGGUAACGACAGAGGGCAGCCACCACGCGAGUGGGAGCGAAUCCUUAAACGUUAUCUCAGUUCGGAUCGGAGU